GGGCUUAUCAACCACCCUUGCGCGUGUUGUUGUGAUGUUGUCCCAUGUACACUACAGCAGAACCAUCUUACAAGUACAAAUUUAAUCUCAUUUGGAGAAUAGAAGUACAUAUUUUAAUUAGUUUAUUCAAGCUCUCCGGUGCUCAAAGAUUAACAUUGUAUAUAUGCACACCACGUUAUAUAUUCCUGAGGUCAAUUCAAUGCCUGACCUUCUUCAAGGAUACAACAAUGACAGGGUACUUGGCCUUCCUUAUCUCGAGGUAUUUUGCAACCAUGGCGGCAAACAACAUGAACAGUUCGUCAAGUAUGGCCUCACCGAAGUGGUUGAUGAUCAGAGGCUCCAUCACUGCCCUUAUGCUCUUAUUGGC
rnacentral:lncRNA from 1 species